CAAGUCAGGUCCAAAUCACCAUUGCCAAACACGCCUUUCAUAAUAUAAUUACACACUUUGAUUUAAUAGAACAACAUGCGUCUCUUACCAUUUCUUUGAACAAACCAGAGAUUUAUGAAAGGACGUCCCCAAAUCUACUUCAAGGGACAUUCGAAACCCUAAGCCCCAAAUCAAGAAUAUCAAUUACCCAACCAUUGUUGAUCACUCGACGAGCCAAGCCAAAGAGUGGAGAAACAACACCCAUUUCAUUUCAUUACAUUUACGUCGGAGCAGUUGAUGUGCAGAUGGAAGAUAUUCUAGCUGAGUGGCUGUUGAAGAUUUCAUUUCAGAUCCAAACAUAAAUUAAAAUGUGGAUGAAAUUGAUGGUGGGUUGUGGUUGUAACUUGACAUUGUGAGAUGAUGUGUCUUAGAUGGUGUCUUGGGUUCUGACUUUUGAGGAAUGCUUUUGGAGGUGGGUGGUAUUGGUGUCGCAAGUAAAUGGGUAAAAUGAGUUUGACAGCCCAGGCCUUUAGCGGCUUGGUCCUUAUUUGCAUGAAUUGGUUGGCCCCUCUAGAACCUGAGCAAUGCUAGGCUUCCUUUUAAAUUUAUUUUUAUUUUUAAAGUUUGAGAGUUAAAUGUAUUGUUGCUUACUGUGGGCAUGUGGCUUAAUUGUAUGACAUAUUUUGAGGAAGAUCCCGACUUCGUAGAAUCCGACCAUGACUUUGAGUCCGAACAAGAUGACAACGAAUAUGAUAGACAUGUAGCUAAUGGAUUGAAAUAGGAUUGGACUACCAUCAAGAUGAAGUUCAGGACCAACGAGAAGAGGGUGGUGAUAACGAGUUGGAUGAAUUGGAACUACCGUAGUCAAAGGAACUGCUCUCCCAACGUUCAUUGCAUUUAAGGAGCAGAUUUUUCAGGGGAUCUAUAUAUGCUUCAAUGACUAUAAGAUAGGAUUCAAGGAUGGUUGUCGGAAGGUUGUAGGUGUUGAUUGUAAUUGUGUGUACAAAGCUUGUAAUCGUGAAGUGUUAAAGUAUGCCCCUAUAUGUAUCUAUUAACAAGUUUGAACAAUUGAGAAAUUUAUGUUUUUGGUUUUGGAAAGUUUCAUCUUGUUUUAUUGUUUCACACCCUCUUCUGAAUU